rnacentral:rRNA from 1 species
CCUACGGGAGGCAGCAGUAGGGAAUUUUGCGCAAUGGGCGAAAGCCUGACGCAGCAACGCCGCGUGAUUGAUGAAGCCCUUCGGGGUGUAAAGAUCUGUCAGUGGGGACGAAACUUGACGGUAUCUAACGAUUAAGCACUGGCUAACUCCGUGCCAACAGCCGCGGUAAUACGGAGGCUGCAAGCGUUACUCGGAAUUACUGGGCGGAAAGAGCGCGGAGGCGGGAUAGCAAGUCAGAUGUGAAAGCCUAUGGCUUAACCAUAGAACUGCAUUUGAAACUGGUAUUCUAGAGUCUGGGAGAGGUAGGUGGAAUUCUAGGUGUAGGGGUAAAAUGCGUAGAGAUAAAGAGGAAUACUCAUGGCGAAGGCGACCUGCUGGAACAUAACUGACGCUGAUGCGCGAAAGCGUGGGGAGCAAACAGGAUUAGAUACCCGUGUAGUC